AGUGAACGCUGGCGGUAGGCCUAACACAUGCAAGUCGAACGGCAGCACGGUAAGAGCUUGCUCUUACGGGUGGCGAGUGGCGGACGGGUGAGGAAUACAUCGGAAUCUACUUUUUCGUGGGGGAUAACGUAGGGAAACUUACGCUAAUACCGCAUACGACCUACGGGUGAAAGCAGGGGAUCUUCGGACCUUGCGCGAUUGAAUGAGCCGAUGUCGGAUUAGCUAGUUGGCGGGGUAAAGGCCCACCAAGGCGACGAUCCGUAGCUGGUCUGAGAGGAUGAUCAGUCACACUGGAACUGAGACACGGUCCAGACUCCUACGGGAGGCAGCAGUGGGGAAUAUUGGACAAUGGGCGCAAGCCUGAUCCAGCCAUACCGCGUGGGUGAAGAAGGCCUUCGGGUUGUAAAGCCCUUUUGUUGGGAAAGAAAAGCAGCAGGUUAAUACCCCGCUGUUCUGACGGUACCCAAAGAAUAAGCACCGGCUAACUUCGU
rnacentral:rRNA from 1 species